rnacentral:tRNA from 1 species
GGAGUGAUGCCCGAGUGGCCGAAGGGGGUUCUCUGCUAAGGAAUUGAUUAACCGAACAGUUAAUCCGAGGGUUCGAAUCCCUCUCACUCCG